CAGGGUUUGGCAGCGCUGCUUUCCUGCAGCAUUACCUGCCUGCUUCCUGGGGCCCCUCUCCCCAAGGCCCCCAAGUGAGUCACAUCCUCUCCUCAGGCUCAGCCCCCUGGCCCUGCUGCAGAGGCAGCAUCUUUCUCCCCCAGCCGGAGGUGAGCGAGCGCCAUCGGGAUGCUGCCGCUGCCGGUCCUGGCCCUGGCUGCAGCCUGGUCACACGCGUUCCCCCUCUCAGGAGGGCAGUGUGGGGAGCAGCAGCAAGCGGCUCUCAUGCAUACGACCAUGAGCAGGCGGCUGGCAGUGCUCAUUGUAUUACUUUCUCUCCUGUCCAAUGGACAAGCACAAGUGCUGCUGCAACAGCGUCAGCCAUCUCUCACCAAAAGGACGUCUUCGACAGCAGUGAUCGAUUGCAAAGUCGAGGGCAUAGAUGACUUCCAGGAUGCUUACAUCCACUGGUACCGACACAUACCCUCCAGGGCUCCCGAACGGCUUCUGUAUGUGACCUCAACAGCACAGAUUUCCUACGACAAGGAUUCCUACAAGGACAAGUACCACUCUUCUAAAAGAGGCAAAAAUACCUGCACCCUGUCAGUCAAAGACAUACGUGAGGAUGAUGAAGGUACCUACUACUGUGCCUACUGGCAGUCUCACAGAGCGAGACGAUCGUAGGCAGCCUGUACAGAAAGGCGGUUGCAGCCUGAGUGGCAGGUGUCCUCUCAGAUGCAGGGAACCAACAUUACCUUCCUGCAGCCACCUCUCAGCUCCUCAAACGUCCCUCCUGGGGCAUCCCUUCCACUGAGGAAGGAAGUAUGAAGAGUUGACAAAUAGAACAGGCAAGAAACGCAGUGCGCUGCAGCCUCCGCGGGCAAAAUGCACUGGGGUGGGGCAAAGGAGCACCCCUGUGGGUGAUGACAAAGAGAGGCAGCACUGCUUACACAGUCUUUGCUGAAGGUGGAUGCUUUCCCAACAUGGUCUGAGCUAGCAAAAAAAGAAACAACAACAACGUCAAGGGAAGGGAGGGAGCACAGAUGGGUUGUAUUUCCAGUGAAGGUCUAUCCUGGGAUCCCUGCAGCCAGCCUGCAGGAAAACAGCUAUGCAAAAAAGGACCUGGCUGGAUGUCUAGUGAAGGAAUGAGAGUAAACGUCGUGCCCUUGCUGCCAAGAUGGCUGUCAGUACCCCGAGCUGCAUGAGGCAAAGUGCUGCCAGCAGGCUGGGGGAGGUGAUCCUUUCCCUUUGCUUGGCAUUUGGUUGGCUCCACCUGGAGAGCUGAGUCCAGUUCUGGGCUCAUGAAGGGACUGAUGAAGCCAGGGAUAAAAGAAUGGGGGCUUGCUUAAUCGCAUUAAUGAUUUCUAAAUAAAACAAUCAUAAUUAUUAAAGCCAGGAAAGAAAGAAUGGGGGCUUGCUUAAUCGCAUUGAAGUAGAUAUUUCGGAGUGUCUUUUCUUACUAGCCAAAAUAAGGAGUCUUGGGGCCCCUCACAGAAGAUGUUUCCUGACAAAAUGGAGAACCUGUCUCAAAAACCACCUGAGACCGAGCUUGUGGUUUGGACAAGAGCCAAGGAGCAGCUGAGUCUGUACAAAGGCAGGGGGUCAACCAGUGGUGAUGAAGAGGAGUUAUCGGCCUUCAUCCCCACAAUCCCCGAUGACCACCACCAGAAGGCACUGCGCAGGCGCAGAUGGGAGGAGUUUAUGGAAAUGACUCCUUGGAGCUAAUUUUAAUACAAAGCGGGGAUAGGUUAUGAAUAUGUAUAGGCAUAUUGGGAAACUUCAUGUGUAUGUAACUUUUUACUGCAUAUAACCAAAGCAAGUUGCCGUGUUAAGGUGCGCAUGCCUUUGGGAGCUGUCCCGCAUGUGCCCGGCACCAAAAUAAACCACAUAGCUACUUUAUAACUCGUUUGCUUUCAGUUACAGAUUUCUUCCAUAAGUGAUUUUGGCGAGCCAGCCAUGAGGCUCUCUGCCUGCCCACAGGAGUGGCCGCGCUGUGGACGUCCUAGCGCGCACUGGGUACAAUUCCCUGGAGGAACUCUGCUCCUCAGCUGCUCUCUGUGGGGGCAGACCAUGACCUGCUGGACUGUGGACAAAUGGUAUGUGUAACAGUACAGGAAGGGCAUGUAAGUUGUACAUGUGUCUGGGGCAGCUGGUAAAUCGCGCGGAGACAUCUGGCCUGCAGCUUAGUUCCUGUAAGGGAGGAGGGUACCCUACAGGCUGACCAAUAGACUAGUCAACGGGGAUUUGGUGGCCGAUGGAACAGCCACUUGUGAUCUUUUGGGAGUAGAUAGAGCAAAUCCAAGGUUACCACUGCAUCCUGGUUUUGGGGGCCAGGACAGACCAGCUAAUGACUAUAAGAAACAGAAGGGUAAGCUGGCCUCUCAUAAUUGUGACAAGUUUACCUGGGUCAUGUUUGCAGCUGCUGGAGGGAUAUUAAUUGGAGUGUUACUAAUUGUAUGUAUUAUUUGUAGAUGUCUGGGUGUCUCAUGUUGAAAGCAUUUGUAUAAGUGUAUGUGUUUGAGGCAAAGUAUUGUUGUAAAGUGAGUUACUCCGUGAGGAACACAGCCAGAGAUGAUACAAACAAGUUUGCUUAAGUGAUAUAUUCUUUUGGUAUGACUGAGAAGUGCACGGGGCCUCUCUGUGUGAUUGCAUGAUUGUGCUGAGUGAGUGAGAUGCAGCAUCACUGGGAAGCGUGUAUGGAGUUCAGAUCCGUGGUUCCGUAUUCUCCGCGAGGGGAGCGUCCAAAGAUGAAUGAAAAGCGUGACAGACCGAAAAAAAGUGCUGUUUUAUCCAAGGGUUGACUGGUGAUGCCCAAAAUUCAGGCCCAGCAGUGCACCUUGUAAUCUUAUUUUUUGUGUUUAAAUGUUUUGAGUGUGACAAGUAGUGGGAGUAUUAUCUGAGUAAAAGUUUAGAAGUUUUGGUAUAUUCAUGGUGGUGUUUGGUCAGUGUCCCAAGUAUUAAGGGGGAAGGGGGUGCUGAUCAUCAAAGCGGUAUAAUGGAGAGUCACUUCUUUGGUGGUUCAGGCUUGAGUCCUGGGAAUUUGGUAAGAAGGGGGAGAGUAAAUUUAUUUAGGCCUCAAUACCUUUUUAAACCCCUAUACUGAUGGAUAUGUAGGAGUGAUUCCUUGGUUGGUGGGGGCUUACUAACAAAGUGCAUGAGAAAAAUUGGCAUUCAGCUUGAAAUUCAGUCCUGCUGAAAGGUAAAUUUUGUGAAAAAGAUGGUAUUGUUUGUCUGGAAGACAGAGGGCUGAGUACUUCAGGUGUUCUCCCAAAGCCCUGUGGAUUUAUGAGUGGAACAGGGCUCACUAAGAAUCUGAAACAGUAAAGUUUGUAUGUGUAAGGAAGAGUUUAAUCCCAGGCAACUGGGACGUUUGGGAAUAAGAUUAGGAAAAGAUAGUAAAAACCUGCAAUAAAAAGGUUUGCGUGGAAAUUGAAACAAGGGACACCAACUAAUAAGGAAUAGUAAUAAAUACAUAAAUAAAAGGGAAUGGGAAAUCAAGGAAAUGGGUAAUAUCCAAAGCAAAGACUUUUUAAAGAAAGCCUCCUUGGAUGCAUAUUGGCACACUGGAUGGAUAUUGUUAGAAAUGGGGGCACAGAAAACAAGAGGACUUUCACCAAGUAUUGUAAUCUAUGGUGGCCACUAUAUAAGCUAAAUGGCCACUUUAUGGAUCAAUUGACUGUAACACUAUCUAGCAGUUAAUGUUGUUUUAGAGGAGAGAAGGAAAAUAGGAUGAAAUGUUGCAUACUGAUAUGUUGUUUGAACAUCUUAGAGGGAAUAGGUAUGGAAUUAGGUUGGCCCCUGACUGAGCCUUCGGUGUUGGUAUGAGAAAAGUACAGGCUGGAGAAAGACAAAAGAAGUGUUAAAAGGGCUGUUGAAGGUGUUAAAAGGUGUGGCAUGUAGUAUUUGACAGAGCUGUUUGAAGUUGAAUGAGCAGGGAAAGAGGAUGGAGGAAUGUUAGUAGUUCUGCCUCAAUCAGAGGCUGAGAUCUCAAAAUCACGGGUGUGAGCCCUCUGGGGUAGAGGGAUCAUGGUGGGUCCAAGAGAGUUGUCAUGGAAACAGGAAAAGGCAUUUUUAUUUGCAAUGCUUGAAAUUUAAAUUGGGAAAAAUGAUUGGAAUUCAUCAAUUUUUAUACUUAUCCAAUUUGCUGAGGCCCUUCUUAGGAAGGGACUUGCUGGGAAAACUGGAUGCAAAAAUUUCUUUUGAACAAGGACAGUCAAGUUUGGUUCAUGGUACUAGAUUGAAGGGAUGCAUUUUUCUGCCUUCCCGUGGCAACUGAAAGCCAGAAACUCUUUGCCUUUGAAUGGGAAAAUCCUAACAGAGGACGACAAACUCAGCUUACUUGGACUGUGCUACCACAGGGGUUCAAGAAUAGCCCCAACCAUAUUCAGGAAACAACCAGUCUGUGAUCUUGAAGCGUGAAAGACCUCUUCAGGAAAAGGGGACACUGUUGCAAUAUGCAAAUGAUAGCGACUGAAGAAGAAAAGGAAUGGGUAUAAAGGACUUACUGAUGGUUUUCAGCACUUGUUCUGUGAACCCAGCCUCUUUCCUUACUCAUGAUUGCAUGAAGACCAUGGACACAGUAUACUCCAGCUGACCAGACUUAAAGGAUACAUCCCUAGAAGAUGUAGAGGAUUUGUAUAUAGAUGGCAGCAGCUUCGUCCUCCAGGGAUUUUGCCUCACAGGAUAUGCAGUAACAAACAUCAGCCCCAGUGGUGGAAAUCAUCACCUUGAUAAGAGCUUUUGAGCUGGCAAUCAUUUGGACAGAUUUGAAAUAUGCCUCUGGUGUGGUGUAUGCGCAAGGGGAAAUUUGGAGGGAGAGAGAACUUUUAUCUAACCUCAAUUAAAUGUGCAGAAGAGGCUGAUAGCAGUUAUUAGGGAAGAAGGAAAAAGGAGGUCUAGACAGGAACAGCCCUGGCUAGGCAAGGAUCAAUGUGUCUUAUGCAAGACUUUUGGGCAUUGGAAAAAUGAAUGCUUGGAAUAGAAAAGAAAUGGAAAAGAGAACCAGGGAAGGGAAGUGGUGUUUGCGCAUGCAAAAGAUGACUGGAGAAGACCGGGGAAAUCUAACCCAGCAGAUCCACUGGUUAUAAAAAUGAAGGGGGGAAAGGAGGUGGAAUGAAUGGUAGAUACAGGGGCAACUGAUUCAUUUUAAAUAAAGCACUAGUACCUGUAGGAAAUGAUUAUGUCAUAGUAAAUGUUAUGUCAUAGUAAAAGGAGCAACUGGCCAAUCAGAAAUGGCAUACUUUUGUAAACCUUUAAAGUACAAACUUGGGAAACAGUGGGACAGUCAAAUUUUAUAUAUGCCCAACUCUCCGGAAUCACUCCUGGGAAGGGACCUACUGGAAAAAUUACAAGCAACCAUAUCAUUUUAAAAUGGGGAGAUUGUUCUGGAGGUAGAUGACCAGAGGUAUGUGGAGGUAUUAAGCCUAAUGAUAUCAACAAACCCUAAAAUGAAGGAAGAGGUUAAUGAAGACAUAUUGAGUCAGGUAUUCCUGGGAAUAUGGGUAAAUGAAGUACCAGGGAAGGCAAAAAUGCUCCUCCAAUACAAAUCAAACUUAAGGAGAGGACAGCCACUACCUUUACACUGUGGUGGUGAACCCAUAUACUUUAUUAACGUGCUUAACACCAGAGCCAACCUAGUUUAUCAUUUUAGAUAUGAAGGAUGCCUUCUUUUGCCUCUCUCUCCAUGAGGCCAGACAGAAAAUCUUUGCAUUUGAGUGGGAAAGCCCUAAGAGUGGGUGCAAAACACAGCUCACAUGGACAAGGUUGCCUCAGGACUUUAAGAACUCGUCCACCUUGUUCGGAAAAAAACUUGCAAAGGACUUGGGACCUGAGAAGCCCCACCAGGAGAAGGAAGGCUGUUGCAAUACACAGAUGACCUCCUAAUAGCCACCCAGACAGAAGAAUCAUGUGUGGCCUGGAUGCUUCUUUCCUCAGAGUAAACCAAAGGGGAGCCAGUACACCACGACUGCCUGGAGACCAUUGACCUACUCCAGCCAUUUGUGGAAAUCUGGUUCACUGAUGGAAGCAGCUACGUCAGCAGUGGAAAACGACAUGCUGGGUAUGCAGUUACCACUUGCAAAGAGGUAAUAGAAUCUGGACCUUUGCCAACAGAUACCUCUGCACAAAAGGCUGAGAUAAUUGCUCUGACCCGUGCCUUAGAAAUAGCAAAAGGAAAGAAAAUAAACAACUAUACGGACUCAAGAUAUGCACUUGGGGUUGUACAUGCACAUGGAGCCAUCUGGAAAGAAAGAGGACUGUUGAACUCGCAAGGAAAAAACAUCAAACAUGCAAAAGAAAUAAUGCAAUUACUGGAAGCAGUUCAGCUGCCUGAAAUGGUAGCAACAAUGCACAUUAAGGCACACCAGAAGGUGAGCUCAGAAUUGGAGGAAAGAAAUGAUCUGGCGGACAGAGAGGCAAAAGAAGCAGCAAAAGGCAAGGUAACAACUGAGGGAGCCCUGAUUCCAGACAGGGAAAUUCGCCUAGAAGGUAAGCCAGUAUAUAAGAAAAAAGGACAGAAAAUUAACCGAAAGUCAAAAGGGAGAGUAUAACCACGAGGGAUGGUCUAUUACCGAAGAAGGGAAAGGGAAAUUAGUCACCCCCUCUAAUUUGCUAUGGUCACUAGUAAGGGAAGAACACCGGAAAACUCAUUGGGGAAUAAAUUCCCUAUAUAACUAUCUGAUUGGGAAAAUUAUGGCUAGGAAUUUGUAUGCUACUGUCACACUAGUAACCCGACAAUGUGACCUCUGCCUCCAGACCAAUCCCAAAAAUACCCCCAAACUGAAAUUGGGCCAAAUUGGGAAAGGCCAUGGGCCUGGAUAACAGUGGCAGAUUGACUUUUCAGAACUUCCAAGAAAAGGGGGGUAUCGAUAUUUGUUGGUAUCAACAGAUACCUUUUCAGGUUGGCCAGAAGCGGUACCCACUAGAACUGCCAAAGCCCGAGAAGUAAGCAAGGUAUUGCUACAAGAAAUAAUACUGCGCUUCGGAGUUCCAGUUACCAUAUCCUCAGACCGGGGACCACAUUUUAUUUCAAAUGCAGUGCAGCAAAUUAGUCAGUAUUUGGGCAUAGAUUAGGAACUGCACACACCAUACCACCCUCAAUCAAGUGGUCAAGUGGAGAAAAUGAACCAUUUGAUCAAACAACAAAUUGUAAGGUUAGGGCAAGAAGCUAACUUGUCCCAGCCCCAAGCUCUCCUGCUAGCAUUGCUGCAGAUUCAGUCUAAGCCCCGAACUAAAGAAAAAUUAAGUCCUUUUGAAACACUUUAUGGGAAGCCAUACAGGGUCCAGAAGGGAAUGUCUGCGUAGGCUGGGGAAGAGAUGCUGAUUACCGGUAUGGUAGCUUUGAGUAAACAACUUAGAGAAACAGAAAAACAUGUGGCUGGAACUCAGAGUAGAGAGCUGGGUGGACUGGUGCAUGACAUACAGCCUGGAGAUUAUGUAUAUGUCAAGUCUCUUGCAGAGAAAACGUUGAAACCACAGUGGGAAGGGCCAUACCAGGUGCUCCUUACUACCUUUACCACAAUUAAGAUCAUUAGGGAAGGAAGUGAAGGCAUUUUCCUGGUUGAAGUCUGAAAGGCUGUUUGGGACAAUGCUAACAAUUUUGAAAGAAAAUUUCAGUCCUGGUGGAUGCUGGUAAAUUUUACUUAUGACCCUAUCGCUCAUAUGGCUACUGCUUUUGUACUUACCAUACAUAAUGCCACAGUUUAUGUUAUUCACCCCAUUAUCUCACCAGGGUUAAAUCAUGAAGAAAUGGUACUUUACCCCUCUGAAAAUAGGACAUGGGCAAGGAUGGUAAGCGGGAAAUGGCAGACCGUAGAUCUGGAAUCAUGUGUUACCCGGGAACAAAAAGGAUUUCUCUGUGAAAGCAACACAAUUGAUGCUCAGGAUGUGUGUCUUGACACUGAACAAGGUGUUUGCCACUUUGAAAUUCAUCCAAAUACUAAUCCAAAGACAGUGCUUAUAUAUAUAGGUCAAGGCUGUGUGUGUUUAAGGACUGCAUGUACCUCUGUAGAAGUAGAUAAAGAAAAUAUAACUCUAGCUAGAAAAAAAUCAUUCUAACUUCUGUAUUUGUAACUUUGUUAGAAUUGUUGGAUGUGACUUUUUAUAUCUAGCACCAGUAGUAUCCCACCAGUUGAUUAAAUCUAAUAACACGCUGUAUAGUGCACUUUUACCAACACCAACUGGAAUGAACCUCACCUUCAUAAGACAAUUAAUCAAACACCAAGAUUUGGCCAGUAUUCUGAGAAGUAUCGAGGAAAGUGGCAAAAAUACAUUAAUUACUGUCCAUCACGACAUCAAGGAAAGAAGCAAGGUUCUACAACAGGUGAAACAAGAUGCUAGUCAUCACUGGUGGGAUGCACUCUUAGGGUGGUCACCAACAGAAAAUGGUAUUCUCAAUAUAUUGUGUCACACAAUCAUAUUCAUAUUGAUCUUAGUUGGUGUAAGUCUAGUAUUGACUGUAAUUGUACUAAUCUCGAAAUUAAGAAUGUUCUACUGGACAGCCACACUGAUUUUUUGCUGCAUGUCCAUGGUAUGGCAUUAAGUGAUCAGUACCAAGUUGGGAAUAUUUGCCGCAAGUAAAAGAAUUUGAUAAUCUUCUAGAAAAAAGGGGGACUGAAGCCAGGGAUAAAAGAAUGGGGGCUUGCUUAAUCGCAUUAAUGAUUUCUAACAACAACAAAAAAAAAUCGUAAUUAUUAAAGCCAGGAAUGAAAGAAUGGGGACUUGAUCUAUCACAUUAAAAUAGAUAUUGUUGUGUGUCUUUUCUUACUAAUCAAAAUAAGGAGUCUCGGGGCCCCUCACAGAAGAUGCUUCCUGACAAAAUGGGGAACCUGUAUCAAAAACCAUCUGAGACCAAGCUUGUGGUUUGGACAAGAGCCAAGGAGCAGCUGAGUCUGUACAAAGGCAGGGGGUCAACCAGUGGUGAUGAAGAGGAGUUAUCGGCCUUCAUCCCCACAAUCCCCGAUGACCACCACCAGAAGGCACUGCGCAGGCGCAGAUGGGAGGAGUUUAUGGAAAUGACUCCUUGGAGCUAAUUUUAAUACAAAGUAGGGAAAGGUUAUGAAUAUGUAUAGGCGUACUGGGAAACUUCAUGCAUAUGUAACUUUUUACUGCAUAUAACCAAAGCAAGUUGCCGUGUUAAGGUGCACACGCCUUUGGGAACUAUCCCGCAUGUGCCCGGCGCUGAAAUAAACUACAUACCUACUUUA